AGAAGUAUAAUGCAUGCUUAGCAUGCAUGAGGUCCUGGGUUCAAUCCCCAGUAUCUCUU
rnacentral:tRNA from 1 species